UAUUAGGUUGGUGCAAAAGUAAUUGCGGUUUUUGCCAUUAAAGGCAAUGGCAAAAACCACAAUUACUUUUGCACCAACCUAAUA
rnacentral:pre_miRNA from 10 species